rnacentral:rRNA from 1 species
GAUCCUGGCUCCGGAUGAACGCUGGCGGCGUGCUUAACACAUGCAAGUCGAACGAAGCACUCUAUUUGAUUUUCUUCGGAAAUGAAGAUUUUGUGACUGAGUGGCGGACGGGUGAGUAACGCGUGGGUAACCUGCCUCAUACAGGGGGAUAACAGUUGGAAACGACUGCUAAUACCGCAUAAGCACACAGGAUCGCAUGAUCCGGUGUGAAAAACUCCGGUGGUAUGAGAUGGACCCGCGU